UACGUAGGGUGCUAGCGUUGUCCGGAUUUAUUGGGCGUAAAGAGCUCGUAGGCGGCCUGUCGCGUCGGAUGUGAAAACCCGGGGCUCAACCUCGGGCCUGCAUUCGAUACGGGCAGGCUGGAGUUCGGCAGGGGAGACUGGAAUUCCUGGUGUAGCGGUGAAAUGCGCAGAUAUCAGGAGGAACACCGGUGGCGAAGGCGGGUCUCUGGGCCGAUACUGACGCUGAGGAGCGAAAGCGUGGGGAGCGAACAGG
rnacentral:rRNA from 1 species